rnacentral:rRNA from 1 species
AUGGACCCAAGGCAGAGUUGUCUCCUUCCUCUUGAUGCGCCUGUUGGAUCUCUAUUGACGGCAGCGGCUUCCUGUGCAGAUGAGAGCGGCGCUAAUUGGACCACCAUAAAGGAAGAGGUGAACGACAAGGACCUCCCGACGGAGCCGCACACUACCACGCAUUCGCGGAAGGACCUGAAUAGGUGCCCGCCAUGGCGGCAGCUAGCGCGGAAGUGCAGAUUUGUGCGUGGAGUGGCGGCCGAGAUGGAUGUUGCAUCGCUGGCAUGUGAACAAUCAAUUGAUCAGAUUGGCCCAAAAUCUCCAAUCUGA